GGAUGUGAGGGCGAUCUGGCUGUGACAUCUGUCGCCCCAUUGAUCGCCAGGGUUGAUUCGGCUGAUCUGGCUGGCUAGGCAGGUGUCACCUUCCUUCCUCACUGCUCCAUGUGCAUCCCUCCCAAAGCUAAACGCUCGGUGGAAGAGGACAACCUUCCUUGAUAGAGGAGAGGACCAUUCUUCAGUCAAGCAUAUACGAGUAGCUGCGCUCCCCUGCUAGAACCUCCAAACAAGCUCUCAAGAGAUCUGCCUUGAACUGGGUAAUUAAACCUCCAAUCAACACCUU
rnacentral:snRNA from 1 species